AUACAAACAGAAAAAAACUUUAUACAUUAGUAAAUCAAGAAGACACAAAGCAUGGUUUUCAAAAAGAAAAGGAACAAAUAACACAUGAUCACCCUGUAGGAAGAACUCUUCCAUCACACGCUCCGUCCACUUGCGAUAGAUGUGCAGUGGCUUGGUUGGAUUA